GAGCUUGGUCGUUUUCCUUUCUUGGUUCUGUUUGCAGACCAGGACACACAUCGUGGUGACUUGGUCAGCUCCUUGGUCAUCAUCUGGUCCAUCACCGAGGUAUGUAUUCACCAUUGACUUCACUCAUAUCAUACGCUCCUUGAAAGCUAGGGACUACAGUUGUUCAUAAUAAAUGUAUUAUCAAGCCGCGAGGCGCUCCUAUUGAUGUGCACACUAGCUCCAGAUGUGUCCCUCAAUUAAUGCAAAUGCGAGUAUGCGAUGACGAUUUUGACAUGUGUGUGUUGCUGCUUCAAAUUGAAUUUCUAGAUACUAAUGAGGAAUUUAACAAAGAAUUGUUAGAGGUUAAUUUACUAUACUUCACUAUUAUAUCAGGGGAGAUGUGGUUACAGCUUAAUUUACUAUGCUUCAAACUGUUUUCACGCUAUUGUAUGGUGCUUGCGAGACCUUGCCAUCUAAGGUUGCCCCAAAAUAACGGCUAGGCAACGCCUUAAACUAUGUGUUUGGUGAAACUAUUAAAUAGGAGAAUAUAGUGGAAACAUUGCAAUACCCACACACUUGUUCGGAAGUGUUUUGA
rnacentral:lncRNA from 1 species